AAAGUGCGAUAAGCAAUGCGAAUUGCAGAAUUCCGCGAAUCAUCAGAUCCUUGAACGCAACUGGCGCUAGGGGGCUCUCCUCCUAGCAUGUCUGUUUCAGUGUCUGAAAACAUCAUAAAUUAACUUAAUGUGGUUGAUGACGGAAAAAAAGAAGAAUUUAUCUUCUUCUCUCUUUCUCGAAAUCUUCCAUGAAAGAUGUACAUGUGGGUCUUUGGACUCCUCAUCGAAUUGGUCACUGUCUCUUCAGUGAUUUCGAUAGGAGAAAAAAACUUUUGUAAAAAAGAAAUCCAAUUACCUAAAUACAUGUAGAAAUUCUCUUCUAACUUCAAACUCUGCAUCUGAAAUCAGGCAAGAACACCCGCUGAACUUAA
rnacentral:misc_RNA from 1 species